CAGGUAGGGAUACCCGCUGAACUUAAGCAUAUCAAUAAGCGGAGGAAAAGAAACCAACAGGGAUUACCUCAGUA
rnacentral:rRNA from 1 species